rnacentral:lncRNA from 1 species
CAAUCCCUGUGUGUUAGCCCACGCCUCAGUCCCUGCAUGGUAGCCUGCCUUCUAUUGUGAGUAUUAGCGACGGUAUUAGGGACGGCUAAUAUCAUCACUAAAAGUUAAUUUUUUAUUUAAAUUAUGUUAAUUAAGUAUAAUUAGAUAUAAAAAAUUAAUUAAUUAAAUUUUAAUUUAAUUAAUUAAUUAGAUAAUUAAUUAAUUAGAAGCAUGGGACUUGGGUCUCAACAUGUAGAGC